rnacentral:lncRNA from 1 species
AAUCAGCUGAAACUCUGAGUUCCCACUUCUUUUUGUGUGUGUGUGUGUGUGUGUGAGCGCCCACACUCAAAUCUUAUCUGAAAAACAUAUAUUUAUUUACAAAGUUAUUUUCAUCGACAUGAUUGCAUGUUUUAACCUUGGUCCCUGCUAUAUAUUCUGAGAUUCUUCUUGCUUCUGCACCUGUUAAUGUGCACAUUUCCUUGCGCAAGAGUUGAAUGGCAAUCUUCCACGUUUGCUAAUGCUGGGGUUUGGAGCAGGGAGAAAAAAUAUUGUUUUUAUUUUAAACCAUGAUUUAUUGCACUUCUCGUUUCCAACAGCAUUGGUGUCAAAGCAGGAAAGGCUGCUGGAAUGAAGGUUGUGGCUGUGCCAUCACUCCAAGUAGAAGCUCACUUAUAUUCUAUUGCUGAUUCCAUACUUCAUUCGCUUCUAGAGUUUCACCCACAACUAUGGGGUCUUCCACAAUUUGGAGACUGUAUGUUUACUUUGCAAUUUAUCCAAUAUCAUGCUAAUGGUCUUCAUCUCAUUUAAUAUGAAUCGUUGCUCUUAAAUUGAUUAUGCAGGGGUUGAUAAUACUUUGCCAAUUGAACCCAUUCAUAUAACAGGUUUAUUUAGCAACGGGCUUCUCCUGGAAUAUGAAGGUUUCUAGAAUUAUUUUCCUUCUGUCUGUUCUGUUUUGAGUUCUUAUAAGCAUUUGUUUCUUUAAACAUCAUGUCAUGUGUACUAAUACCUACACAUUAUUUUUAUUUGUUGCUGUUGGAAUAUGUUUUACUUGUGCAACAAAUAUCUGAUCUGAUUAAAAGAGUGUAAAUCUAGAUGGUGGAUGGUCUGCUCUUCCUGAUCAAGUUUGGGGACUCUACAUUGGAUGGGCGAAAUUUGACGAACAGAAGGUGUCCAAGGCUAUAAUCAGCCUAGGAUGGAACUUGAAAUGUUGUGAUUCCAGGAGAAAAAUUGUGAGUAUAUCAUUACUAGAACCUAUUUUGUCGAAUAUUUUAGGCUAAUAAGAAUGAUUUGCAUAUUCUUUAUUUAUAAAUUUUAAACAAAAAAUUUCCUUUAUUGUAAUUUUUAAGGCAAGAUUAUUUCAAAAAUUUGAAGAAUCUCCACAAGUAGUACAUACAUGUAUAUUUUGGUAGCCAGUAUAUAAUUUAGUUCCACUUUUUCUUGCAUUUCAAUUUGCUCAAAUAACAUAUACUUUAGAAUCGGCAUUUCCUUCUGGAUGCCCUUUUCUGAUGUUUGCCUGCAUUUGCGAACUUAGACUCCGAUUGCUGGUGAUGUACCAACAUGUUUACCUGAUUAAAAUGUUCUUGUCGGCUUCAAAAAAGAACAUCUCAGUAAAUUUUCAUUAUCUUAUUUAUUUUAUUUUUUUCCAAUCCCAAUGUAACUUUAACUGCUUUAUGCCUCUAGAAAAGGGGUUUCUACUCGUUCAAUGCUGCCUGACAUUCGUUACUGCUAUUUCUUUUAGUUCAAUUUCUUGUCUUAUGACUGACCGCUCCUUUUCAGCAAGCAUGUCCUGUUGAGUUUAGCUAUGAGAGCAUAAAUGACAGUAAGAUGCAGCUACUGCUUGUGGGCUACCUUCGAAGAUCAUGUCAUGUGGUAAAAAAUUAUUUACUCAACACACUGACUUAAUCAAUGAUACUCGUGGUUGCACUGUUAUAACGGGAACAUUAGUUUUCACUCAUCAAAUCAGAUGAGUCAUUUGAAAAUGAUCUCAUAAGUAGAAAGAUUGACACGCAUUGUGUUUAGGUUUAUUCAUCAUAUAAUUUGCUCUCUCUUGAUUUCCUCAUCCUGUCCACCCGUACAAGCACACUGUGCACACACAUCAGACUUGAAUAAAUUAUCUUGUGUUAACCAUGUUGUCAUAAAAAAUGAAAAAAUGAAAAGAAAAGAAGAAGGAAAAAAGGGGAAAAAAAAAAAAAAGGUUAAGAGCUACCGGCUUAUGUAUGUUAUAAUGCCAUUUUAUCUUUGAUGCUAUAUUUUCUUCUUUCUAAAUGCUGUUUGUCACCGACGAAAACUAUAUCUACUUAUUAUACUAGCUUAAAUUCUUACUUGAUUGGCUUUUUUGUGGAAGGAAAUUUGCUAUUUUCUUUUUUUGAUUUAAACUUCCACUCAGCACUAUGUAAUUUCUAUGGACAAUAUACAGGGAAAUAUGCUGGAGAACAUAGAAAUACUCGAAGAAGACAUAUUGGCUGCCCGCACCUCCUUGAAUUUGCCGGCGUUUUCCUACAAUACGUCAAAUGCUUUCUUGCAAGGAGAUGCUGUUAAAGAUAAUUUUGCUGCCUUGAAUGACAAUCACUAAGUAUGUUAUCAUCUGAAUUCUACAGAUGCUCUGAUAGCCAUCUUUUGUAACACAAACUGGAAUUUGUUCCUCGUGGCUAUGUACUUUCUCAUAGUAUAAGAUUGUUUGAAGAUGUAACCUGCUUUGCAAACACAGAAUGUCUUGAAAGGUGAACAUGUAACAAGUUGGUCCUAACUGUUUUUUCUUUUCGUGUGAGUCAAUAAUCCAAGUUUAUAAUGAAUUGAAUUUUAAUGGACGAUUCUCA